rnacentral:misc_RNA from 1 species
GUAACAAGGUUUCCGUAGGUGAACCUGCGGAAGGAUCAUUAAAGCGUUGCCGACGUCGGCCCCGGCCGUUCGGCUUGAAAUAUAGCCUGGACGGUGCUGGAGGUCGCCGGCAGUUGCCCAUUCUUGCCUACUGACCCAGUUGCCUCGGCGAGCCGUGCCACUCGUGGCAGACCGGAAGCCGUUUGAACCCCUAGGGCUCAGGCGGCCCUGGCCAGUGCCCGCCGACGGACAGACUUAAAAUCUUUAUAUAUUGGCCGUCUGAGCGUAUAAAGCAAAUCAAUUAAAACUUUCAACAACGGAUCUCUUGGUUCCGGCAUCGAUGAAGAACGCAGCGAAAUGCGAUAAGUAAUGUGAAUUGCAGAAUUCCGUGAAUCAUCGAAUCUUUGAACGCACAUUGCGCCCCCUGGUAUUCCGGGGGGCAUGCCUGUUCGAGCGUCAUUGCAACCCUCAAGCUCGGCUUGUGUGAUGGGCGACCGUCCUUCCCCUAGGGGCGGGACGCGUCCGAAAAGCAGUGGCUAGGCCGCGAUUCCGGCGCCUGAGCGAAUGGGACUUCCACCGCUUCUAGGACCGGCCGGCACUUGGCCUUUAAACACGGUCUUAACUGACCAUCUAGGUUGACCUCGGAUCAGGUAGGGAUACCCGCUGAACCUAAGCAUA